UCUUGAUGGAAGCGCAUCGUACCAGGACAGAGACGGCGUUUGGAGCUCCAGCAGGGACUAUCGUUACUCUGGACCAUUGAAAGAACCCGGACUUCUUUUACUCCCAAUAGGAAAUAAUCACAAGUAUCGAUCUGAUUGAUUUUUGCCAAAACAUACGGAACGUUACACGAGGAUUCUUUGGGCGCGUUAAAUGGAUUAAAUACGACUGUUCCAACACUGACACACGUGGAGGAGUUACUAUUAUUGGUCAAAGUGGAUCAUGUUGGCAGCAGCUGUUGGAUUGAGACCCCCAGCUGUGGAACCUAUUCAUGGAUAUAAGGAAACACUGUCUGUUCCAUGGGAUGAGUGGAGCCCAUUACGCGUACUGCCCAGGUCCUGCUGUUGGACAAGUGAGGUUUUUUUUUUUGGACAACACGGGAUACUUAACGCGUGGCCGGUGUCAUAGAAAGGCCAAUACAACGAAGUGCCUUGGGUUGGAUUUUGGCACAAUGAACGGAAUAUCCUGGGAUGUAUUUAGAAAGCGAUGCUCAGGAAACAUCCAGGUGCAGCGUUUUGGAUAAUGUGCGUAAAUCCAUGAUCCAGCAGUGAAGGAAUCCAAAUGUCUGGACAGAGAUAUCAACCUUUAAAGGCGUACCAAGGGAUACUGUGAUGAUCUCAGGUGAGCAGCGAGAAGAGGCUGAGUAAUGGAAACAUGAUCUGCAAAGAUUCAGGAUCAGACUAAAUCCUGGUUUGGACCGCGGCGCUGCGUCCCCUGCAGCAGAUGUUUGCUGCUGGCAUCGCUGCUGACAGAAUGAGCUCCAUCACUGACAGUCUCACUCUGAGGAUCCAGCCCCAGCAGCUUGGACCUGAGGAAGAAAAGCAGUGACAUAAACUCAGUGGGACAGUGGAGUGUACUCCGCUGCUCUGUCAUUAUGGAAUGGAUCAGUCAACCCCCGUCUGGAGAGGUGCUCGCUGGGAAAAAAAAAAAAAAAAAACCCUCAGUACACAUACAUUUACCAUAAUUCCAACAAUGGAUCUACAUAUUUUCAGCCUUUUUCUAAACUGCACCAGGAUUACUAUUUUUCCCAAUAUAUACAUCUGCUUUUAAUAUCCAGUGUUUAUUUGCACUGCUGCUCAUACACUGUUCUUGCGACAUUUACUGUGUUAUUCUGGAUACUGUAUCAACAAGUGUUGGAAAUGUAAAUGGAAAAUAAUCAAUGUUAUUUUCAUUCUUAGUAUUAUUUUUUACUGACUGAUGGGAGUGCUUACCUCCACUUGAUUACAAAAUGUAGGACAGACAGAUUUAAUUUAGUUAAAAGAACUUAAAAAAAAAAGUCCUUUGUCAAAUAAA